rnacentral:rRNA from 1 species
GACGAACCGUGCGAGCGUUGUUCGGAAUCACUGGGCUUAAAGGGCGCGUAGGCGGUUGAUCAAGUCUGGGGUGAAAUCUUUCGGCUUAACCGGAAAAGUGCCUUGGAUACUGGUCAGCUGGAGGGAGGUAGGGGCAGUUGGAACUUCCAGUGGAGCGGUGAAAUGCGUUGAUAUUGGAAGGAACGCCGGUGGCGAAAGCGAGCUGCUGGACCUCUUCUGACGCUGAUGCGCGAAAGCUAGGGGAGCAAACGGG